rnacentral:rRNA from 1 species
UACAGAGGGUGCAAGCGUUAUUCGGAAUUACUGGGCGUAAAGCGCGCGUAGGCGGAUUGGUAAGUCAGUUGUGAAAGCCCUGGGCUCAACCUAGGAACUGCAUCUGAUACUGCUAAUCUAGAGUCUAGUAGAGGGAAGGGGAAUUCCAGGUGUAGCAGUGAAAUGCGUAGAUAUCUGGAGGAACAUCAGUGGCGAAGGCGCCUUCCUGGACUAAGACUGACGCUGAGGUGCGAAAGCGUGGGUAGCGAACGGGAUUAGAUACCCCGGUAGUCCACGCCGUAAACGAUGUCAACUAGUUGUUGGUCUUAUUAAAAAGAUUAGUAACGAAGCUAACGCGAUAAGUUGACCGCCUGGGGAGUACGGUCGCAAGAUUAAA